rfam:Glycine soja cultivar W05 scaffold913_33, whole genome shotgun sequence.
GAUUUAUUAGCCUAGUUGGUUAGAGCGUUAUGCUAAUAACGCGAAAGUCAAAGGUUUGAUUCCUACAUGGAUCA